GAGGUAGUGACGAAAAAUAACGAUACGGGACUCAUCCGAGGCCCCGUAAUCGGAAUGAGAACAUUCUAAACCUUUUAACGAGGAUCAAUUGGAGGGUAAGUCUGGUGCCAGCAGCCGCGGUAAUUCCAGCUCCAAUAGCGUAUAUUAAAGUUGUUGCGGUUAAAAAGCUCGUAGUCGGAUGUGUGUCCCGCGCCGUUGGUUCAUCGCUCGCGGUGUCAACUGGCGUGUAUCGCGGGACGUCCGGCCGGUGGGCGCGUGUGUCGCCUUGGUGGCGCGCGGCCCUGCUCGUCGCCGUCUUGCACGGUGGCGAAUCCCAUCGCGGUGCUCUUUACUGAGUGUCGAGGUGGGCCGGCACGUUUACUUUGAACAAAUUAGAGUGCUUAAAGCGGGCCAAGUUUGCCUGAAUAUUCUGUGCAUGGAAUAAUGGAAUAGGACCUCGGUUCUAUUUUGUUGGUUUUCGGAACCCCGAGGUAAUGAUUAAAAGGAACGGAUGGGGGCAUUCGUAUUGCGACGUUAGAGGUGAAAUUCUUGGAUCGUCGCAAGACGGACAGAAGCGAAAGCAUUUGCCAAAAACGCUUUCAUUGAUCAAGAACGAAAGUUAGAGGCUCGAAGGCGAUCAGAUACCGCCCUAGUUCUAACCAUAAACGAUGCCAGCUAGCGAUCCGCCGAUGUUCCUCCGAUGACUCGGCGGGCAGCUUUCGGGAAACCAAAGCUUUUGGGUUCCGGGGGAAGUAUGGUUGCAAAGCUGAAACUUAAAGGAAUUGACGGAAGGGCACCACCAGGAGUGGAGCCUGCGGCUUAAUUUGACUCAACACGGGACACCUCACCAGGCCCGAGCACCGGAAGGAUUGACAGAUUGAGAGCUCUUUCUUGAUUCGGUGGGUGGUGGUGCAUGGCCA
rnacentral:rRNA from 1 species